rnacentral:rRNA from 1 species
GAUGAACGCUGGCGGCGUGCCUAAUACAUGCAAGUCGAGCGAACGGACGAGAAGCUUGCUUCUCUGAUGUUAGCGGCGGACGGGUGAGUAACACGUGGAUAACCUACCUAUAAGACUGGGAUAACUUCGGGAAACCGGAGCUAAUACCGGAUAAUAUUUUGAACCGCAUGGUUCAAAAGUGAAAGACGGUCUUGCUGGCACUUAUAGAUGGAUCCGCGCUGCAUUAGCUAGUUGGUAAGGUAACGGCUUACCAAGGCAACGAUGCAUAGCCGACCUGAGAGGGUGAUCGGCCACACUGGAACUGAGACACGGUCCAGACUCCUACGGGAGGCAGCAGUAGGGAAUCUUCCGCAAUGGGCGAAAGCCUGACGGAGCAACGCCGCGUGAGUGAUGAAGGUCUUCGGAUCGUAAAACUCUGUUAUUAGGGAAGAACAUAUGUUUAAGUAACUGUGCACAUCUUGACGGUACCUAAUCAGAAAGCCACGGCUAACUACGUG